CGUCAUUGCGGAACCGGAGAUGGAGCCAAUCGACGGAGGAGGAAGGCGUGAACGUCGGAAUCGCCAGGACUGGGGGGGGGGGGAGAGGAGGGCGAGGAUGACGGCACCUAUUUAACCCGAUGCGCGUCGUGCCGGCGGGAUCUUGGUCCUCUGCGGGAGAUUCGACGGUUUCAGUUCCGCGGAGAAGGAGCGAUGCCGCGCGCUCUUCUCCCCACCCAUCUGAGAUCGAGAUCCCUUGAAAGGGAGAGGAGGAACAGCCCUCGGCUAAACUUCUCCGGAGGGACCUCUGGGAUUUUGGAUACAUCCUCCUCUGGGAUCAGCUGCGCAAUUCCUCCUCUGUUGUUUCUGGCAGGACCAAGGAGGCUGCAGGGGGCCCUGCUUCUGGCUCUCCAGCCAGGACACACACCCCCCCCUUCGGAGGUCAAAAGGAAG